rnacentral:rRNA from 1 species
AGAGUUUGAUCCUGGCUCAGGAUGAACGCUAGCUACAGGCUUAACACAUGCAAGUCGAGGGGCAGCAUGGUCUUAGCUUGCUAAGGCCGAUGGCGACCGGCGCACGGGUGAGUAACACGUAUCCAACCUGCCUUAUACUCCCGGACAGCCUUCUGAAAGGAAGAUUAAUACGGGAUGGCAUCACGAGCCAGCAUUUUCUCGUGAUUAAAGAAUUUCGGUAUAAGAUGGGGAUGCGUUCCAUUAGGCAGUUGGCGGGGUAACGGCCCACCAAACCGACGAUGGAUAGGGGUUCUGAGAGGAAGGUCCCCCACACUGGUACUGAGACACGGACCAGACUCCUACGGGAGGCAGCAGUGAGGAAUAUUGGUCAAUGGGCGAUAGCCUGAACCAGCCAAGUCGCGUGAGGGAUGAAGGCCCUACGGGUCGUAAACCUCUUUUAUAAGGGAAUAAAGUUCGCCACGAGUGGUGUUUUGUAUGUACCUUAUGAAUAAGCAUCGGCUAACUCCGUGCCAGCAGCCGCGGUAAUACGGAGGAUGCGAGCGUUAUCCGGAUUUAUUGGGUUUAAAGGGUGCGUAGGUGGCCCCGUCAGUCAGUGGUGAAAGUCCGUGGCUCAACCAUGGAAUCGCCAUUGAAACCACGGGGCUUGAGUAUGAUUGAGGUAGGCGGAACGCGUGGUGUAGCGGUGAAAUGCAUAGAUAUCACGCAGAACCCCGAUUGCGAAGGCAGCUUACCAAGCCAUGACUGACACUGAGGCACGAAAGCGUGGGUAUCGAACAGGAUUAGAUACCCUGGUAGUCCACGCAGUAAACGAUGAUCACCAGGGAUUUGCGAUAGACAGUAAGUCCCCGAGCGAAAGCGUUAAGUGAUCCACCUGGGGAGUACGCCGGCAACGGUGAAACUCAAAGGAAUUGACGGGGGCCCGCACAAGCGGAGGAACAUGUGGUUUAAUUCGAUGAUACGCGAGGAACCUUACCCGGGUUUGAACGCAGGUGGACAGCCGAGGAAACUCGGUCUCUAGCAAUAGCCGCUUGCGAGGUGCUGCAUGGUUGUCGUCAGCUCGUGCCGUGAGGUGUCGGCUUAAGUGCCAUAACGAGCGCAACCCCCGUCAGUAGUUGCCAUCGGGUAAUGCCGGGCACUCUGCUGAUACUGCCACCGCAAGGUGUGAGGAAGGUGGGGAUGACGUCAAAUCAGCACGGCCCUUACGUCCGGGGCUACACACGUGUUACAAUGGGGCAUACAGCGAGUUGGCCGCUGGCAACAUCGGUCUAAUCCAUAAAAGUGUCCCUCAGUUCGGACUGGGGUCUGCAACCCGACCCCACGAAGCUGGAUUCGCUAGUAAUCGCGCAUCAGCCCUGGCGCGGUGAA